UAUAUAUAUAAAUGUUUUUGCAAAAUUUCAAACCGAAAAUUAGGGUUUUGUUUUAAAAAUCCUCGAUCUCGCGGACACGCCGCCACUCUAGUCCAGUCUUGUUACUAUGAUGCGUGCUUGCUUGCUAGGGUUUAGUCCUCUGUUUUUCAUCAAUAUGGAAGAGAAGAUCUCAUUGUCAUUGCUGGGACGAAGGAUGAGGCCGCGAAGGUAUUGGCUCUCUUCUGAGGAAGUGGUUUCAUGUUUCUCUUCUUUGCCUUGCUAGUUUGUUUCCUUUGAUCUUCAUUGAAGCUAAAAGAAGAAGUUGGUUGUUAAGGAAUCCGUGGAGAAGGUUUAUUUAGCUGGUUCAGAAGUUUGAGAGCUUAUGCCAUCAAAAUGAUCGUUGUUUAUAGGGCCAAGAUUGAAACUUUUGGUGGAUUUCUUGUUGGCAUUUGAUUUCCAUGCUUAUCAGUGCACAUGUCCUGCAGUGGGUGAUGUGCUUGAGAGUAGUUUUCUUAACAUAGGCAACCUUGAUUUGGUGGAAACUAGCACAAUACGCUCUCUAUAUACAAGAGGAAGAAUUGGGAGAGGGUAUUGUGCUUGGACUUGUGCGAAUCAUCAUUGAGAAGAACAAAGCCUGAAUUAUCUGUUUGAAGAGGGAUGUGGUUUAGUGUUAUACAUGUCGUGUUCCAAUAUAUUCUUGUUAAAUCUUUUUAUUGUCAAGUAAUGGUUGUUGAUGAUUCUUCUGAUGCCUAGCUAUGUUCACAACAAUUCCUCUUAUUUGACAGGAUCGAUAGAUCCCAUUGAAAAGAUAUGGUUAAAGUUUUUCA